GCGGAAUUAGCUCAGUUGGGAGAGCGUUAGACUGAAGAUCUAAAGGUCGCUAGUUCGAUCCUGGCAUUUCGCA
rfam:Chlamydomonas reinhardtii strain CC-503 cw92 mt+ CHLREscaffold_85 genomic scaffold, whole genome shotgun sequence.